UUCCUGGUAGCUCAGUGGUUUAGAGUUGCGUGCUUAUGAGGUUGCCUAUUUUAAACGCCGACGGUUUAAGACCGUAAUCACGCCGGUCGAGAGUUCAAACCUCUUCCAGGAAA
rnacentral:tRNA from 1 species